UCACCAAGAUGGUGCGUCUUUACAGUCA
rnacentral:piRNA from 1 species